UUGUUUCGUCGUGAGACCAGUUUUAACCUAAUUUUUCACUCGCUCUCUCUCACUCCGCCGGCGGGAAAACCAUGUCGCACUUCGGAAGGUCAGGUCCACCGGAUAUCAGCGACACCUACUCACUUCUCGUCCUUAACAUCACCUUCCGUACGACUGCAGAUGAUCUCUAUCCUCUAUUCGCAAAGUAUGGGAAGGUCGUUGAUGUCUUUAUUCCCAGAGAUCGAAGGACUGGUGAUUCGCGUGGCUUUGCAUUUGUUCGGUAUAAGUAUAAAGAGGAAGCUCAAAAAGCAGUGGAAAGGCUUGAUGGAAGAGUUGUUGAUGGCCGGGAAAUAACUGUUCAGUUUGCGAAAUAUGGCCCAAAUGCUGAAAAGAUUUCCAAAGGAAGAGUUGUGGAACCACCACCAAAGUCACGAAGGUCAAGGAGCCGUAGUCCUAGGAGGAGCCGUAGUCCUAGGAGGAGUCGUAGUCCUCGGAGGAGCCGUAGCCCGCCUAGGCGCCGUAGUCCUAGAAGAAGCCGCAGUCCCCAUAGGAGGUCCCGAGACGAUUAUAGGGAAAAAGACUACCGGAAGAGGAGCAGGAGCCGAAGCUAUGAGAGACAUGAGAGGCAUCAGGAGAAGGGUAGAGAUCAUCGUCGGCGCAGUAGGUCUCGUAGCGCCAGCCCAGAUGACAAACGCAGAGUCAGAGGCCGUUAUGAUGAUGCUAGCCGAAGUCGCAGUCGCUCCUUGAGUGCAUCUCCUGCUCGCCGCAGCCUCAGCCCUAGAAGUUCUUCCCCACGAAAAGCCUCUCCUGAUAAGCGUAGCAAUGAGAGGUCUCCGUCUCCUCGUCGCAGCCGUAGCCCAAGAAGCCCUUCUUUGCAGAAAGCCUCUCCUCCUAAGGAGAUGUCUCCUGAAAGGCGUAGCAACGAGAGGUCUCCAUCUCCUUGUAGCCCUUCUCCCGGAGGCAAAGUUGCUGCUGCUUCUCGAAGCCAAUCUCCUCAUGCUGCGGAAUGAUUGCCGCCACUUGUGAAGGAUGCAUGGUGUAUGAAAAACAUGUUUGCUUGUAUUGAUGAUGUUUCAUCCUCAAGCACUGGAACGUCUACCCUCUGUAGUAUUACUUGCUUUCCUCUGGUUCGAGAAAAGAAUUGACUUGGAAGAUGGCACAACCAUGUUGAGAUUGUAGCUGUUGAUGCUGUUUAAGAAACUGUAGAUGGUCGAUGCUGUUUAUGAAACCGUAGAUGAUUGAUGCUGGUCACAGCAUUCUGCUAAACUCUCCCUUCGGUACAUAGUAGCAUUCUUGUGUCUCUAACUUGUUGCCCAAUGCUUAGAAGGGCACGGUUCGUUGAGAUUUGAAUCUAAGUUCAGUUGAGUUUCA